ACGGGAUCUGAGGGUAUCCAGAUGCAUGUCCGGCACAGGAGGUGGUAUGCUAUUCUGCCCACAAUGAGUUGUGGGUUUCUCUCUGUACUCAAAGUAGCUGCCUGGUCAUCGACGCAUACCCUUUCAGCUGGUGCCUUUUGUUUCCUGCAGCCAACAGCGGUGGGUUAGGUGGGUAGUCAAACUGACUUGAUCUAGUGGGCCCACGGAGAAGAGAAAGAGAUUUGGGAUGUUUACCACUUCUAUCCUACUAUUAACUUGCAUAAAGGCAAGGUAAAGGAGGGGUUAAUAUUAAGGAGGAAGCACCAGCUGCUAGACAGCUCUUUGAAAUCUAAAACACCUCAUCAGGGAACUAGUCAUCUCAGGGGAAGACAAUUCAAUUCCCAUUCUCCUGAUCUCUAAUUGAAGUUCCUGGAGGAGCAGAACAUCACCUUAAAAUACAGAAAUGCAGAGGCUAGGAGACCACAACAUCCAUUAGAGAAAUGUUUAUUUAUCCUCGAGAAUAGUUAGCUCAGAUCGAAUGACUGGAAGCACCACAAGCCCCAUAUGGAGAAACUGAAGACUCAACAUAAUAUAAAUUGUGGUACAGAGACAGUGUCAACGAGUCCUGUGAAAACUGCCUCCCUCAUUCUUCUGCAGAAGCAGCAGAUUUCCCAGAAAGAUUGCCCAAACUUGGUAGUCCCAGGUCUUUUCACUGUAACUGGUCCUUCAACAGAUUCCUGCUUGAGUUAAGAAAAACAAGAGAAAUAGGAUCCCAUUUGGUUAUAAUCCUUUUUCUGAAAGGAUCCUAAGUAUCCUGUACAUGUCAUUCUAUAAACAAGACUCUGUUAUGUGGGCAUCGCCAUCAUCACCACCAUCAUCAUCAUGAUCAUCAUCAUGAUUGCUGUCGUCGUAGCUUAAGGUCCUGAGUGUUCACUAUGUUACAAUAUUCCAGAUGGCAAAAUGAAGAUAUAGUGAUUUGAAGUAAUUAAGUUCUCAGAAAUAGUUAAAGAGCAAAGUAGGAAUCCAAAUCCAAAUGCCCAGGUUCUUAACCACUAUACAACAUUGCCUUUCCAAGUAUAAAGAACAUAUUAAUUAUAAUCUGAAGUUCAAGGACUACAGGAAUAAAAUGUGGAAACAAAGGCUUUCAGUUUCAGGAGUGCUGGGUGGCUUAGUUGGUUAAAUGUCUGCCUUCAGCUGAGGCCAUGAUCCCAAGAGUCCUGCAAUGAGUCCUGCAUCAGGCUCCCUGCUCAGUAGGGAGCCUGCUUCUGCCCCUCCCCCUAGCUCGUGUGUACUCUCUC